UCCAAUUGAUGUUUGUGGAAACCAGUCUCUAUGCAAAAGCAGGGUCAUCCAGGCAGCAUUCUCUCAUAAAACCACAAAAGUAGAGGAACCAAGACAAGCACAAACUGCAUGACAUGUAAACGACAUCAGUCCUGGACAAAUUCCAUUUCAGAAGUCCACCUCAGACUUUAUGUAUGAGUUAUGCCAUGUAAAGGAAAUCAGCCAUGGACAAAUUCUGUUUCAGAAGACCACAGCAGACUUGACAUGUAAAGCACAUCAGCCCCUGGACAAAUUCCCUUGCAGAAGUUUCUCAAUCCACCUCAGCUUGUCACGAUGCAAUCAACUUACAUUGGCAAAAGCAAAACAAACUGAAAUAUGGCCGUCUCAUCCUUAACAGACACGUCAUAUCACCCUCACCCUACUAUCAAAAGUAAGAACAACAAAAUACUUUUCCC
rnacentral:lncRNA from 1 species